rnacentral:misc_RNA from 1 species
ACUAAUUAUCUAUUUGCUUCUCUUCAUUUUUAUUCAAGUGAUUGGAUGCAUUUAUAAAUGAAAGCAUUCCUCUUUGGAUGCUUGAGGAUUUUAAAUCAGCUUUUUUAUUUUAUUUUUUUCGUUUCUUUUUCUUUGGCAGCAGUUCAAAUGAUUCAAAUUAAUAUCAUGCGUCAGCAUUUUUUUGGUUUUUAGGAAAUCAUGCAAAGACUCAUCUGUUUUGAGUAAUUGCUUCAGAGCAAAUUUAUUGUGCUGGAGAGUAGAUGAUGAUUCUUAACUUUUAUUUUUGUAAUAUACAUGAGACCAUAUUUUUAUAUUUCAAAUGUGCUUGUUUGCAUGGAAAUUUGUAGGUGUUCACAUCAAUGAUGAAGA